UACGUAGGCAGCGAGCGUUGUUCGGAGUUACUGGGCGUAAAGGGUGUGUAGGCGGUUGUUUAAGUUUGGUGUGAAAUCUCCCCGGCUCAACUGGGAGGGUGCGCCGAAUACUGAAUGACUUCGAGUGCGGGAGAGGUGAGUGGAAUUCCUGGUGUAGCGGUGAAAUGCGUAGAUAUCGUAAGGAAGACCAGUGGCGAAGGCGGGUCUCUGGACAGUUCCUGACGCUGAGGCACGAAGGCCAGGGGAGCAAACGGG
rnacentral:rRNA from 1 species